GACGAACGCUGGCGGCGUGCCUAACACAUGCAAGUCGAGCGGUCCGACAUUUAACAUUGAGUAUUCAGUACGAGUUGGCAGAUGAGCCAGCGUCAGGCAGAAAGAUACUUGAGAUCAGAUCAGGUUUUUUGCUUCACGCCAUAUCAAGUGCCGACGCAAAGGCGGACUGAGUAUUGAAUGUUGAAUGUCGGAUAGCGGCGGACGGGUGAGUAACGCGUGGGCAACCUGCCUUUCACAGGGGGAUAACACAGGGAAACUUGUGCUAAUACCGCAUAACAUCAUGUGGGGCAUCUCAUGUGAUCAAAGGAGCAAUCCGGUGAAAGAUGGGCCCGCGUCCAAUUAGCUAGUUGGUGAGGUAAUGGCUCACCAAGGCGACGAUUGGUAGCCGAACUGAGAGGUUGAUCGGCCACAUUGGGACUGAGACACGGCCCAGACUCCUACGGGAGGCAGCAGUGGGGAAUAUUGCGCAAUGGGGGGAACCCUGACGCAGCGACGCCGCGUGAAGGAAGAAGGUCUUCGGAUUGUAAACUUCCUUGAUGAGGGACGAAGUAAGUGGCGGUACCUCAAAAACAAGCCACGGCUAACUACGUGCCAACAGCCGCGGUAAUACGUAGGUGGCGAG
rnacentral:rRNA from 1 species